AACGAACGCUGGCGGCGUGCUUAACACAUGCAAGUCGAACGGAAAGGCCGUGCUUUUGUGGGGUGCUCGAGGGGCGAACGGGUGAGUAACACGUGAGUAACCUGCCCUUGACUGUGGGAUAAGUUCAGGAAACUGGGGCUAAUACCGGAUAGGAGCUCCUGCUGCAUGGUGGGGGUUGGAUAGUUUAGGCGGUUGGGGAUGGACUCGCGGCUUAUCAGCUUGUUGGUUGGGUAGUGUCUUACCAAGGCUUGGACGGGUAGCCGGCCUGGGAGGGUGACCGGACCCAUGAGGCUUGAGAUGCGGCCCAGCCUCGAAUGCUACGCAACGGAGGGGAGUAUUGCACAAUACGCGGGAGGCUGAUGCGACCACGCCGCGUGGGGUAUGACGGCCUUGGGGUAGUGAACCACAGUCGCCUGUGACGAGGCGUUAGUGACGGUACCGGGAAAAUAAGCACCGGCUAACUACGUG
rnacentral:rRNA from 1 species